CGAGAAAGCCCGCAAGGGUGAGUAAAGCGGCGCACGGGUGCGUAACACGUGGGUAAUCUGCCCUGAAGUCCGGAAUAACUCGCCGAAAGGCGCGCUAAUGCCGGAUGAGACCACGGGAGCCUCGGCUCCUGCGGGAAAAGGUGGCCUCUGUAUACAAGCUAUCGCUUCAGGAUGAGCCCGCGGCCCAUCAGCUCGUUGGCGGGGUAAUGGCCCACCAAGGCUACGACGGGUAGCUGGUCUGAGAGGACGAUCAGCCACACUGGAACUGAGACACGGUCCAGACUCCUACGUGAGGCAGCAGUGGGGAAUCUUGCGCAAUGGGCGAAAGCCUGACGCAGCAACGCCGCGUGUGUGAUGAAGGUCUUCGGAUCGUAAAGCACUGUCGCGAGGGACG
rnacentral:rRNA from 1 species